CACGGGGCAGCAGCAGCCGCGGGCCUGUCCCCGCUGCGCCCCGGGCAGGACGGGCCCCGCGGCCCCGCGGCUCGCUGCCCCACCUCACCUCGUCCAGGUCUUUGGCCUCUCGGCCCAGCUCGUCGUCGUCAUCGUCCGAGUCCAGCUCGGGCCCGAUGUAAUUCCCAAACUCAUCGUACAGGUCGGUGUCCAUGCUGGGGGAUGGGAAAGGAUCGGUGGGGGCGCAGGGACUGCGGGCAGUGACAGAACCGCCCCUGGGGCAGUGACAGAACUGCCCCGGGGCAGUGAAAGAACCGCCCCAGGGCAGUGACAGAACCCCCUCAGGGCCGAGACGUGGGGGCCCGGCCCGGCCCUGCCGCAGCCCUAAGCCCAGCCUGGCCCGGACCGGUCCCGGCCCCGGUCCCGCUCUCCCUCACCAGUCCCGGUCCCGGUCCCGCUCUCCCUCACUGGUCCCGUUCCCGGUCCCAGCCCCGAUCUCCCUCACCGGUCCCGUUCCCGGUCCCGUUCCCGGUCCCGGCCCCGCUCUCCCUCACCAGUCCCGGUCCCGGUCCCGGUCCCGCUCUCCCUCACUGGUCCCGGUCCCGGUCCCAGCCCCGAUCUCCCUCACCGUUCCCGGUCCCGGCCCCGGCCCCGCUCUCCCUCACCAGUCCCGGUCCCGGUCCCAGUCCCGGUCCCGGUCCCGCUCUCCCUCACCAGUCCCGGUCCCGGCCCCGCUCUCCCUCACCUGUCCCGUUCCCGGUCCCGGCCCCGCUCUCCCGCACCAGUCCCAGUCCCGGUCCCAGUCCCGUUCCCGUUCCCGGUCCCGAUCUCCCUCACCAGUCCCGGUCCUGGUCCCGGCCCCGCUCUCCCUCACCAGUCCCGGUCCCGGUCCCGCUCUCCCUUAGUGGUCCCGUUCCCGAUCCCAGCCCCGAUCUCCCUCACCAGUCCCGGUCCCGGUCCCGGUCCCGUUCCCGGUCCCGGUCCCGGUCCCGCGCCCCCUCACCGGCCCCGGUCCCGGUCCCAGUCCCGUUCCCGGUCCCAGUCCCGUUCCCGGUCCCGGCCCCGCUCUCCCGCACCAGUCCCAGUCCCGGUCC
rnacentral:lncRNA from 1 species